rnacentral:pre_miRNA from 1 species
GGAAGUGAGUUGUGAUGAUGAUGACAAUGAUGAUAAUGAUGAUGAUGAUCAUCAUCAUCAUUAUCAUCAUCAUCAUCAUCAUCACCACCA